AACCCAGCUGGGGUAAUUUCCAGUUACUCACAACUGAAUACAUAGGUUGUGUAGAGGCAUACCAGGGGAACUGAAACAUCUAAGUACCUUGAGGAAGAGAAAACAAUAGUGAUUCCGUCAGUAGCGGCGAGCGAACGCGGAACAGCCCAAACCAGAGAGCUUGCUCUCUGGGGUUGUGGGACGUCUCACAUGGAGUUACAAAGGAACCGGUUAAACGAAGAGGUCUGGAAAGGCCCGCCAAAGAAGGUAAAAGCCCUGUAAUUAAAAGCCCGUUCCCUCCGAGA
rnacentral:rRNA from 1 species